CGGUUCCCGUACGAUCACUGAAGUUAAGCAAUGUCGAGCCUGGUCAGUACCCCGAUGAGUGACCGCUUGGGAAUAACAAGUGCUGUAAG